UCUCCGUAGGUGAACCUGCGGAAGGAUCAUUACUGUAGAACCCAUGAACAAGGACUGUGGCUGAUCCGUAAGGCCGCGCACGCCCGACUGCAGUCACUCACAUCCAUCCGCCCCUUACGUGCACCACCGCGUGCGUCCCCCUCUGGCUCGUUCGAAGCGGCGCUUACGUUUUCCCGCAAGCUUUGUUUGCAGUGUAGAAUGAAUUUUAAAUUUUUGCCAUCACGCAAUCUAUACAACUUUCAACAACGGAUCGCUUGGCCUUCGAAUCGAUGAAGAACG
rnacentral:misc_RNA from 1 species